UAUCCGCAGUGUAUUUCCUCGCAUCUACCAUCCCUUUUCUACGCCUCUCUCCCUCUCUCUCUUUCUCCAUCAAAUCUUGUUUUGUUCAAACUCUCUCUCUCUCAUCUAUUCUCUCCAUACAAUACAUGAAUAUACAUACAUACCAUCAUCUUCUUUUCCCAUCUCUAGUUUUUCAUCAAUCUUCUGAUGUUCCAAACGCUCUAUCUCUUCAUAUACAUACAUACGAAUAUAUUAUUGUUGUCAUAGAUCCAUUUAGAAUCACUUUAGCUUUUAGAUGAGAUCUAGGGUUUCUUUGUUUUCUUUCAAAUUUUGUUGCAUAUUCUUCUAAAUCAUGGUUUUUCGCUUGCUAGGUUAUAGAUCCAUGCAAAUAUGGAGUAGAUGUACAAACACACGCUCGGACGCAUAUUACACAUGUUCAUACACUUAAUACUCGCUGUUUUGAAUUGAUGUUUUAGGAAUAUAUAUGUAGAGAGAGCUUCCUUGAGUCCAUUCACAGGUCGUGAUAUGAUUCAAUUAGCUUCCGACUCAUUCAUCCAAAUACCGAGUCGCCAAAAUUCAAACUAGACUCGUUAAAUGAAUGAAUGAUGCGGUAGACAAAUUGGAUCAUUGAUUCUCUUUGAUUGGACUGAAGGGAGCUCCCUCUCUCUUUUGUAUUCCAAUUUUCUUGAUUAAUCUUUCCUGCACAAAAACAUGCUUGAUCCACUAAGUGACAUAUAUGCUGCCUUCGUAUAUAUAGUUCUGGUAAAAUUAACAUUUUGGGUUUAUCUUUAUUUAAGGCAUCGCCAUGGAUAGGUGAAGAAGAAUAUGACCAGUUGUGGAUAUUCAAAUCUGCCAAAUUAAAAAAGAAAAAAGGCUAAUUCUCCUGGAGACUAUUUACAACGCCUAAGAAACGAAGGACCCACGAGCAGCGUUCUUUGGUGGAAUAAGCGGAAUGAUGUCGACGUAGGGCUGCUAGGGUUUUGCUCGUCCAAUGGGGCGAACGUUUUGGGCAUACAAGAUUCAGUGAAGAUCGGGGUUUAUCGAGCAUAUGAGUGAGGAUGUUGAAUGCUAACUUAAUCGCGAGUGAAUAAGAAGUCUAAAGAGACUCAUCAUGACUCGGGCUGCUAUUGGUUAAUGCCUGAUUAUUCACAUACGCAUAAGUGCUUAGCAAUAUAUGUAUAGUUUGGUGUAAUAGUCUGUUCUGCCAAAAAGAUCUUUUAUUCGUUUUAGGAACUACUAAGUGUGUCGAUGUCAUUAAGCAUCGAUAUAAAAUAUGCUUAAUAUUGAAUCUAUAGACAAUAGACACACACUUUUAG
rnacentral:miRNA from 1 species